rnacentral:tRNA from 1 species
UGCGGGGUAGUGUACGGCAGCACGGAAGGCUCAUAAUCUUCCAGACUAGGUUCGAUUCCUAGCCCCGCAACAA